GACGAACGCUGGCGGCGUGCUUAACACAUGCAAGUCGAGCGGUAAGGCCCUUUCGGGGGUACACGAGCGGCGAACGGGUGAGUAACACGUGGGUGACCUGCCUUCAGCUCUGGGAUAAGCCUGGGAAACUGGGUCUAAUACCGGAUAUGACCUCAUGACGCAUGUUGUGGGGUGGAAAGCCUUUGUGCGGCUGGGGAUGGGCCCGCGGCCUAUCAGCUUGUUGGUGGGGUGAUGGCCUACCAAGGCGACGACGGGUAGCCGGCCUGAGAGGGCGACCGGCCACACUGGGACUGAGACACGGCCCAGACUCCUACGGGAGGCAGCAGUGGGGAAUCUUGCGCAAUGGGCGGAAGCCUGACGCAGCGACGCCGCGUGAGGGAUGACGGCCU
rnacentral:rRNA from 1 species